GACGUAGGGUGCAAGCGUUGUUCGGAAUUACUGGGCGUAAAGCGUGUGUAGGUGGUUGUCCAAGUUGGAUGUGAAAGCCUUGAGCUCAACUCAAGAAAUGCAUUCAGGACUGGAUGACUAGAGGACCGGAGAGGAUAGUGGAAUUCCCAGUGUAGUGGUGAAAUACGUAGAGAUUGGGAAGAACACCAGUGGCGAAGGCGGCUAUCUGGACGGUUUCUGACACUAAGACUCGAAAGCGUGGGGAGCAAACAGG
rnacentral:rRNA from 1 species